rnacentral:lncRNA from 1 species
CUGGCAUUUUGUGUACGUUCAAUUACCAUCCAGCUCUGGAAAACAGGACUUCUAUGGUGCACACUUAUUUUCUGCAUGUCUAUAAUAUGCAAACUGCAGGCUGAUCUACUACAGUAAUAAAAGCAAACUGAAAAGGUUUUGUACGUUGGCCAAAGAGAGGAAGAUGCUCCUCCAAUGAAGCAGGAGGUGGGGUUUUAUUAGCUGACAAUACAGCACUUGGAACUGUGGAGUAAGGAACUCUGCUUUUGCAAGGUUUUCCAGCUGUACAAUUCAUUUUUAAGGUCAGCUAACUCACUGGGAAGAUUAGACUUGGACUCUGACAAAAGAGGGAAUCUCAGCGUUGGGUCCUCUAGAGACAUUUUCACCAAUGCAUACACCCACAUAUCUGACCACAGCCACGUAUGCCACUGUCACCACAUCACCACAUCACCCUGCCGCUGGACAAAUCGCUUCUCUGCUCUGUGCUUAUUACAAGACAAGGUGUGUCUUUACAGCAGCCAAACAGGAACUGAAAUACAUCCUCGUGUCUGGUGUUGACAUAAACCCAAGCUGCUGUAGAAUUCCAUGGGAAAUUAUGGUGAAAAAAGGAUGAGUUUUCCCUAAUUCUCAUGUCUGUCCCAGCCAUCAGCCCUGUUUCCAGGCCACCAGAGGGCUGUCCAAGCCCACUCUGGCUUCACCACCUCACCUCAUUUCUCUACACGUGCAAAAUCCUCUCAGCACCAAGCACUGCAAUUGGAAAUGCCAUAAAAAAAGCAAAGAGCUCCCCUCUGAAGCCCAGCUGCAUCCUUUAGCACCUCAGGCAUCCCAGCCAUUCGCUAGCACAGGCUCCAUGGUUUCCAUGCCCCCAGCCACCUGUUCUGGGGGAGUUCUGGACAGCAGCUUGGAAAAUUCUGAGAAAGAAGAAAUAAACGUAACCAAAUUCCAUAGAAUGACAGAAUGGCUUGGAUUGGAAGGGACCUCAAAGAUCAUCUAGAUGCAAAUCCCUGAUGCGGACAGGGUUACUGAAAUUAAGAUUUAUUUAUUUUUUUAACAAUUUAAGAAUUCCAAUGCUCACCUGACAUCAAAUUUGUUAAAACAAUUUUUUUUUUUCCCACUUCAGUUGUAAUUGUCACUUUUAUGAACGUUUUCAAACAUUUCAUAUUUUUUAUACCUUAGUUCCAUUCACCCACGCAGCGUUUUGCUUUAGUAUCAUCACACAUGCCCAAAUCCUCGAUGAAACACUCGUUUGGAUUGCAGCAAAACUGAGAGCAAUCCAUAUGCCAUCCUCCUCACACAGUUGUCCCAUUUACUAUUGGACAGGCAAGCCUAAUAAUAAGUUGACAAACAUGACUUUCUUUCUUGUUGGACAAAAUACACAAAUUGUAUCUUUUUUUUUUCUGAGGAGGAGUAAAAUACUAAGGCUUCUGGUCAUUCUUUCUCUUCUUUCCCAGUGCUGUUGACUUUACUGCUCAACUCUGCUACUGCUUAAAAAUAAAAUGACGUGAUUUCUCAAAGUGUGUAAACUCUCUUAUCUGCAAAGCUAUGUCUUCACUGGUACACUCACAACUGCUUUCAUUUCUGUUCUACAGCCCUGCACGCUCCCCAAGAGCAGACACAACAACCACGGUUAUUUACACCCCAGCAUCAGCUACACAGCUUGUUUCCCCCACAGUUAACAGUAGCUAAGUCCUGAUGAAAAACAGACCGUAGGAAUGACAGUGCUAAUAUGGAGAUACAUAAUGUGGGCAUUCAGAGAUGCACACAGAACUGCAGAAAUAAUCAUCUUUAUUUAGCUUCGUCUAUACGAGUCAUCUUCCACUGGCAUUUCACCCUAAUCGCAAGAAGCAUUGGGUGCCAAGGGUUUUACUGUCACUCUCCAAGCCAGUUCCUGCAUAUUCAUGGCUAAAAGCCAGAGCAGAAGGAAGAUUUAGGUGCCAGCAAUGGUUCUUAUGCCAACGAUCAAUACUGCAGAUAUUUAAAGGUUUGAUCUGAAAUCCAGAGAUGCGCCAGAGAUGACACAUGCAGAGAACUAAGAUCAGCAGAAAUCCUC